rnacentral:rRNA from 1 species
GGAGGGUGCGAGCGUUGUUCGGAAUUAUUGGGCGUAAAGCGCGUGUAGGCGGCUCCUUAAGUCUGAUGUGAAAGCCCUGGGCUCAACCCGGGAAGAGCAUUGGAAACUGGGGAACUUGAAUACGGGAGAGGGCAGUGGAAUUCCUGGUGUAGGAGUGAAAUCCGUAGAUAUCAGGAGGAACACCGGUGGCGAAGGCGGCUGCCUGGACCGAUAUUGACGCUGAGACGCGAAAGCGUGGGGAGCAAACAGGAUUAGAUACCCUGGUAGUCCACGCCGUAAACGAUGAGUACUAGGUGUUGCGGGUAUUGACCCCUGCAGUGCCGCAGCUAACGCAUUAAGUACUCCGCCUGGGAAGUACGGUCGCAAGACUA